ensembl:lincRNA
GCCAGUUGUGCCUUAUUAAUUGAGUCACCCCCUAGUGGGACUCUCAGCACGUGACUGGAGCUGUCAGGCUACAGACAGAGGAGUAAUUGACUUAAAUGAGGCGCAAUUCCUCAUCACAUGUUGCUUGGAAUGUGGGACUGGCCUGCCCGGGCAGUAGCCGGCUGCUUACAGUGUAUUCCUUUGAAAGAGAACUGCGUGUCCAGCACAAGGCGAGAGCUCUAUGACCUGGAGAUUGCAGACCGAGUCUAUGAGCACAUGCAGUAAGGCUGCAGACGUCUGGUACUGCAGCCCCGAGCUGAGGGCCUAUUGUGAGGAUCAUGGUCUGCACUGGGGGCAGAGGGGGAUGGGGUGGAGGCCAGACAUGCCAGGUCUUACGAGUGGACAUUUCCCCUCCGUGCCCGCCUGUGUGCGGAGAGCCCGUCUGGGGUUCCCUUCACCAGGGUGCUCUGCUCGCAGUGGGGCAGGGGCUGGAGAGCUGUGAGAAAGCACUGGGAGCGUCACAACCAGAGAACUGCCCAGCACUCCCCUCAGCCUCACACGCUGGCCACAAUGAAGCCAUCCUCUCCAUUCAUCAAGGACUCACAACAGAUCCCCAUCUCUUUAUAUCUCCAUUACUCCUGUCCCUCCUUUACAGGAACAGCAUUUCCCCUGCUUUUUGUCUUUCUUUUCCAGCCUGCGAGGAAGUGGUGAACACGCUCGGCGCCCUGUUUAGGGUUCUCUUCUCUUAUCUUUGCAGUAAAGAUUUUGACAUGAACCACCUGGUUCUUCAAGAUUGCCAUGCAAAGCGAGGGCAAUUUGUGCUCAAAGAGAAGAAUAACCAGAUCACAGCUGGCAGUUUACCGACAAGAUUGCACUGCUACCAAGCACAGCGGAUAUACUGUAUAGAUUCAACUGCAGACAAUUUUCAGGUGCAAGCUUUUUAAAAAAAAAGAUAUUGAAAAUGUCAUAACUAAAAUGCCAAAUGUGCUGCAAGCAUGCACAAUUUCAGGUAGUGAAUGCUAAAAUAAACAGAAAAGCAACAAAAAGGUUUAUGUAUGAUAAAUUGCAGGGAAGCACAAUAAAGUGUUGGCGCAUAAUUAAAACAAUGAUUUAUAGUUGCAGGGAAUAUCCUAGUUCACACUUUAUUAAUGAAGAUAUGUAAAGCAAUGAAAAAAGUUAAUUAAAAGCAAAUUAAUGUCCCCAACUAAAAUCUGCUUUUGCAUAAAAACACUUAUUGGCAAAAUGUUUUACUGUUUAUUUCUGCUUGCUCACCACUCAUUAAAUACAGUUAAACAGGGAAUGUAUAAGUUAGACAUUUCCAGUUUCUAGCAGUUAGGUAUCAUUGUAGAAUAGCGUGCAGAAACAGCAUUAGUUUUCUUUGUCUUUAAACUUUCUUAUCAACAUUUAUCAAAUAAAUUUAUUGUGUUAAGGCUCUCUCAGAGCAAAUAUGCAAUGUCAAUGUUUGUUAAUUUUGAGAAUGUAAGUACAAGAGACUAGCUGCAACCAAUAAUAACUCCUUAAAGUCAAAAUCAAGAUAUGAUGUAGUGCUUCUCUGUCCUGAAUCCACCAUCCAGCUUUCCAAAGUUUUCCAAAUGAACCCUGUUGUCCACCAUUAAGAUCAGCUCAAGUCAUUUAAAUAGACAUUUCUUUCCCCGCAGUGGCUUAUGAAAACAGAUACUGGGAACAAGGAGAGUGGAGUGCACACCCUUGCCAAGCAGUAAUCACUUAGUGCUCUCAUUGGGAGGUUCUGUCAUUGUUAGUAUCCGUGUCCCGAAACCAGCAAUAUCUAAUAUCACACCUACUAUCUGUCCACGUGUAUUUCUGAAUGAGAGAAAACUGCAUGCUCACUUUGUUAUGUAGACAAGGGACCUGGCCAUUUGCUAUAUCAACAAUGGCAGCACCACUGACGAAUUACUCGUCACCAACCAUGCCUGUUGCCAAUGCCAGCCCAGUGGUUGCUAAGCAUCUGGGUCUGGCUUCCUGUUCAGGCCCUUACAAUCUGCCUGGCAGCUGCUCCAAUUACCAGACAGUGCGUCUUUUAAUGGGUGCCUUCUGAUAAAGGGAGGAAGGCUGCCUCUCUCUUCAUUUCUCCCUCACUGUCUGUGUUUCAGUGACCAGAAUCUGUAAGAACUCCUCCUUGCCUCGCUCAGCUGCUCCAGGCCCUGUGUCAGCUAAACAGAUCCUUUGUUUUUGGAAAAAAAAAGAUACAAUGAGAAGGCAGACUUUGUCCGUCCCCUCGCCACCCCGCCCCUCCUCCUCCUCCUCCUCCUUUUUCCUGGCAGAUGGCUAAUGUUUGAUGAACAGAGCAGGUAGUGGAUCGGCAUGGGUGCCAGGGUAAUGUUACUGUGAACGUGCAAGAAUGGUCCAUGCACAUGCAUUUGUGUGUAUGAGUCUG